rnacentral:rRNA from 1 species
UCGAGGAUCAUUUGCAAUGGGCGAAAGCCUGACAAUGCGACGCUGCGUGGAGGAUGAAGGCCUUCGGGUUGUAAACUCCUGUCAUGGGGGAACAGGCGAGGGGACCCAAUACGUCCCUUAGUUGAGUGUACCCCAAGAGGAAGGGACGGCUAACUCUGUGCCAGCAGCCGCGGUAAUACAGAGGUCCCUAGCGUUGUUCGGAUUUACUGGGCGUAAAGGGCGCGUAGGCGGCAGGGCGUGUCAAGUGUGAAAUCUCCGGGCUCAACCCGGAAAGUGCGCUUGAAACUACCUUGCUCGAGUAUGGGAGAGGGAAUCGGAAUAUAGGGUGUAGCGGUGAAAUGCGUUGAUAUCCUAUAGAACACCGGAGCGAAGGCGGAUUCCUUGAACAUCACUGACGCUG